GGCGGCGUGCCUAACACAUGCAAGUCGAACGAGAAAGUUGGCUUCGGCCGAUGAGUAAAGUGGCGCACGGGUGAGUAACGCGUGGAUAAUCUGCCCUUUAGUUUGGAAUAACGUACCGAAAGGUGCGCUAAUACCGGAUAAUACUGAAUGACUACUGUCGUUUAGUCAAAGAAGGCUUCUGUUUACAUGCUUUUGCUGAAGGAUGAGUCCGCGUACCAUUAGCUAGUUGGUAGGGUAAUGGCCUACCAAGGCGACGAUGGUUAGCUGGUCUGAGAGGAUGAUCAGCCACACUGGAACUGAGACACGGUCCAGACUCCUACGGGAGGCAGCAGUGAGGAAUAUUGCGCAAUGGGGGCAACCCUGACGCAGCAACGCCGCGUGAGUGAGGAAGGUUUUCGGACUGUAAAGCUCUGUCGAGCGGGAAGAAGUGUACCAUGGCUAAUAUCCAUGAUAUUUGACGGUACCGCUAGAGGAAGCACCGGCUAACUCCGUG
rnacentral:rRNA from 1 species